AGAAUGAACGCUGGCGGCGUGCUUAACACAUGCAAGUCGAACGGAAUCCAAGGAGCUUGCUCUGGAAGAUUUAGUGGCGAACGGGUGAGUAUCACGUGAGCAACCUGCCCCGAAGACUGGGAUAACACCGGGAAACCGGUGCUAAUACCGGAUACCUUCCAAUGACCGCAUGGUCGAUGGAAGAAAUGUUUUUCGCUUCGGGAGGGGCUCGCGGUCCAUCAGCUUGUUGGCGGGUAACGGCCCACCAAGGCUUCGACGGAUAGCUGGUCUGAGAGGACGAUCAGCCACACUGGAACUGAGACACGGUCCAGACUCCUACGGGAGGCAGCAGUGGGGAAUCUUGCGCAAUGGACGAAAGUCUGACGCAGCAACGCCGCGUGAGGGACGAAGGUUUUUCUGAAUUGUAAACCUCUUUCGACAGGGACGAUAAUGACGGUACCUGUAGAAGAAGCACCGGCCAACUAUGUGCCAGCAGCCGCGGU
rnacentral:rRNA from 1 species